rnacentral:rRNA from 1 species
UAUCGAGGAUCCAUUGGAGGGCAAGUCUGGUGCCAGCAGCCGCGGUAAUACCAGCUCCAAUAGCGUAUAUUAAAGUUGUUGCAGUUAAAAAGCUCGUAGUUGGACUUGUGCUGCGCGUGUUCAGCGGUCUGCGUUCAAAAGAGCGUUACGACA